GGGAACUACGAGCCAAGCUUAAAACCCAAAGGACUUGACGGUACCCCAUAUCCCCCUAGAGGAGCCUGUCCUGUAAUCGAUAACCCCCGUUUAACCUCACCCCUUCUAGUAAUUCAGCCUGUAUACCUCCGUCGUCAGCUUACCGCAUGAGUGCUAGUGAGCUCAAUGUUGUUUCAACUAAACGUCAGGUCAAGGUGCAGCAUAUGAAGAGGAAAGAGAUGGGCUACACUUUCUAUCUUAGACCACACGAAAAACUAACUAUGAAA
rnacentral:rRNA from 1 species